UACGAAGGGGGCUAGCGUUGUUCGGAAUUACUGGGCGUAAAGAGCGUGUAGGCGGCCUGAAAGGUCAGCUGUGAAAACUCGAGGCUCAACCUCGAGACGUCGGUUGAAACCAUCUGGCUAGAGUCCGGAAGAGGAGUGUGGAAUUCCCGGUGUAGCGGUGAAAUGCGCAGAUAUCGGGAAGAACACCCGUGGCGAAGGCGGCACUCUGGGACGGUACUGACGCUGAGACGCGAAAGCGUGGGGAGCGAACAGG
rnacentral:rRNA from 1 species